UCUCCGUUGGUGAACCAGCGGAGGGAUCAUUACCGAGUUUACAACUCCCAAACCCCUGUGAACAUACCUUAACGUUGCCUCGGCGGAUCAGCCCGCUCCCGGUAAAACGGGACGGCCCGCCAGAGGACCCAAACCCUACUGUUUUUAGUGUAUCUUCUGAGUAACAAAAACAAAUAAAUCAAAACUUUCAACAACGGAUCUCUUGGUUCUGGCAUCGAUGAAGAACGCAGCAAAAUGCGAUAAGUAAUGUGAAUUGCAGAAUUCAGUGAAUCAUCGAAUCUUUGAACGCACAUUGCGCCCGCCAGUAUUCUGGCGGGCAUGCCUGUUCGAGCGUCAUUUCAACCCUCAAGCCCCCGGGUUUGGUGUUGGGGAUCGGCGAGUCUCUAGGGACGAGCCGGCCCCGAAAUCUAGUGGCGGUCUCGCUGCAGCCUCCAUUGCGUAGUAGCUAACACCUCGCAACUGGAACGCGGCGCGGCCAAGCCGUUAAACCCCCAACUUCUGAAUGUUGACCUCGGAUCAGGUAGGAAUACCCGCUGAACUUAA
rnacentral:rRNA from 1 species